rnacentral:sRNA from 1 species
AUGUACCGACGUACAUUCCGGUUCCUCCGCGCCGUCCGUACCCACCUGACGACUGCUCGCUACGUUUUGUUAGCC